rnacentral:rRNA from 1 species
GAUGAACGCUGGCGGCGUGCCUAAUACAUACAAGUCGAGCGAACAGACGAGGAGCUUGCUCCUCUGACGUUAGCGGCGGACGGGUGAGUAACACGUGGAUAACCUACCUAUAAGACUGGGAUAACUUCGGGAAACCGGAGCUAAUACCGGAUAAUAUAUUGAACCGCAUGGUUCAAUAGUGAAAGACGGUUUUGCUGUCACUUAUAGAUGGAUCCGCGCCGCAUUAGCUAGUUGGUAAGGUAACGGCUUACCAAGGCAACGAUGCGUAGCCGACCUGAGAGGGUGAUCGGCCACACUGGAACUGAGACACGGUCCAGUCUCCUACGGGAGGCAGCAGUAGGGAAUCUUCCGCAAUGGGCGAAAGCCUGACGGAGCAACGCCGCGUGAGUGAUGAAGGUCUUCGGAUCGUAAAACUCUGUUAUUAGGGAAGAACAAAUGUGUAAGUAACUAUGCACGUCUUGACGGUACCUAAUCAGAAAGCCACGGCUAACUACGUG